rnacentral:rRNA from 1 species
GACGAACGCUGGCGGCGUGCUUAACACAUGCAAGUCGAACGGAAAGGCCUGCUUUCCCUUGUGGAUUGCGGGUACUCGAGUGGCGAACGGGUGAGUAACACGUGAGUGAUCUGCCCCCAACUUGGGUAUAAGCCUGGGAAACUGGGUCUAAUUCCCGAUAGGACUGCAGGGUGGUGCCUGUGGUGGAAAACGAUUUUCUAGUGGUUGGGGAUGAGCUCGCGGCCUAUCAGCUUGUUGGUGGGGUAAUGGCCUACCAAGGCGGCGACGGGUAGCCGGCCUGAGAGGGUGGACGGCCACGUUGGGACUGAGAUACGGCCCAGACUCCUACGGGAGGCAGCAGUGGGGAAUAUUGCACAAUGGGCGGAAGCCUGAUGCAGCGACGCCGCGUGGGGGAUGACGGCCUUCGGGUUGUAAACUCCUUUCGACCGCGAGGAAGCCACCUGGUUGGAAGGGUGGUGACGGUAGUGGUAGAAGAAGCACCGGCUAACUACGUG